AGAAUCAACGCUGGCGGCGUGCCUAACACAUGCAAGUCGAACGAGAAAGUGGAGCAAUCCAUGAGUAAAGUGGCGACCGGGUGAGUAACACGUGACUAACCUACCCUCGAGUGGGGAAUAACAUCGGGAAACCGAUGCUAAUACCGCAUAACAUCGCAAGAUCAAAGCCGAAAGGCGCUUGAGGAGGGGGUCGCGGCUGAUUAGCUAGUUGGUAGGGUAAUGGCCUACCAAGGCUUAGAUCGGUAGCCGGCCUGAGAGGGCGCACGGCCACACUGGAACUGAAACACGGUCCAGACUCCUACGGGAGGCAGCAGUGGGGAAUUUUGCGCAAUGGGGGGAAACCCUGACGCAGCAACGCCGCGUGGAGGAUGAAGUCCCUUGGGACGUAAACUCCUUUCGACCGGGACGAUACUGACGGUACCGGAUGAAGAAGCACCGGCUAACUCUGCGCCAGCAGCCGC
rnacentral:rRNA from 1 species